rnacentral:rRNA from 1 species
GUACACGCUGUGACUAGCAUAUCAAUAAGCGGAGGAAAAGAAACUAACAAGGAUUCCCUUAGUAACGGCGAGUGAAGCGGGAAGAGCUCAAAUUUGAAAUCUUCAAGGUUUUACCUUGACGAAUUGUAGUUUAAAGAAGUGUUUUCUGCUGAAGUUUUGGUAAAAGUUCUUUGGAAUAGGACAUCAUAGAGGGUGAGAAUCCCGUAUUUGACCAUUAUUUUCAGCUUUGUGAUACACUUUCAAAGAGUCGGAUUGUUUGGGAAUGCAGUCCCAAAAUGGGUAGGUAAAUUUCAUCUAAAGGCUAAAUAUUGGCGAGAGACCGAUAGCGAACAAGUACCGUGAGGGAAAGAUGAAAAGAACUUUGAAAAGAGAGUUAAACAGUACGUGAAAUUGUCAAAAGGGAAGCGUUUGACACCAGUGUUGUUUUCUGAAAAUCAACCUCUGUUAGCUUUAUGCAUGUUUGUUUAGACCUAAUCAGCUAUCUUGCAUGUUCUAUUGUUUGCAGUGGUGCACUUUUCAGUUUACAGGUCAACAUCAGUUUUUUUUACCGUAAAAAAGUUAAAGAAAGGUAGCUCAUGGCUCCGGUCGUGAGUGUUAUAGUCUUUUUCCUAUGCGGUAGGAGAGACUGAGGUCUGCAGUGUAGGCUAUUUGGCUAGAUACUCAGGUGCUAUGUGAUACCAUUUCAUAAACAACUUGUUGAUUAUGUUUUGUCUAUUGCAUACUCGCUUGUACUAUCAUACCUACGCUUAGGAUGUUGAGUAGCGACAUACGCAC